rnacentral:rRNA from 1 species
CAGCAGUGAGGAAGGUGGGUAUGUUAAUAGCAUACUCAUUUGACGUUAGCUGCAGAAGAAGCACCGGCUAACUCCGUGCCAGCAGCCGCGGUAAUACGGAGGGUGCGAGCGUUAAUCGGAAUUACUGGGCGUAAAGCGCAUGCAGGUGGUUUGUUAAGUCAGAUGUGAAAGCCCCGGGGCUCAACCUCGGAAUUUGCAUUUGAAAACUGGCAAACUAGAGUACUGGUAGAGGGGGUAGAAUUUCAGGUGUAGCGGUGAAAUGCGUAGAGAUCUGAAGGAAUACCGGUGGCGAAGGCGGCCCCCUGGACAGAUACUGACACUCAGAUGCGAAAGCGUGGGGAGCAAACAGGAUUAGAUACCCUGGUAG